rnacentral:snoRNA from 1 species
UGUUUGCUGUGAUGAUUCCUAAAGGACGGUAUCUGAGUAAGGAACCACUUGAAAGAGUGUGCCUUGCAUGAUUACAUCCACAACUGAUCAGAGAUUCUGAGCAAACA